rnacentral:lncRNA from 1 species
UUCUCCACCAAUAUAAUCUCUAGCUCUCUUCCCAUAUCCCAUUAAGUCUUAAGCAGCCAAUAAUCCUAGCCUAGCCAUCUUCCCAUUCAUGGGAAAGCUUCAACUUCUCACCGUUGCCUUGACCGUAUUUCUGGCCGCAGCAGUCGCAGUUGAUGCUAUUGCGGUGGGCAGCGUCGUCACUCCAUCCUUCUUCCAUGGGAUGCUC